CGCUCUCAGGAGCACGGAGGCCUCUGUGCUCCUGAGCCGUUUUCGAUGAUGGAAUUUUCGAAUCGACGAUCGGCUCCGUUAGACUUGAUCUAGCGCAUUUGAAGUUUCUAGAAAAUAAUUUUUACGAUUUUUUGAUAUCAUUUACCUAUUGACCGAAAGGAUUUAAAAUCUAUAAUUUUUAAUGGUUGAUAUAUGCCGUUUUCAAGUUUAACGGUGUAGAAAUAUUCAAAUCAGAUGAAAUUUUGAUACAAAAUUCUUUAUACUAUCUAAACAAGAUCAAUAUUUCGGAUCGAAAAUUUUAGUGCUAUAUUACCGCUUUUUAUAGAAUUUUUAUUUUCAGCCGUUAAAAAUUAUAGAUUUUGAAUCCUUUCAAUUGUUAGGUAAAUGAUAUCAAAAAAUUGCAAAAAUUAUUUUCUAGAAACUUCAAAUACGCUAGAUCAAGUUUAAUGGAGCCGAUCGUCGAUUCGAAAAUUUCAUCAUCGAAAAUGGCUCAGGAGCACAGAGGCCUCCGUGCUCCUGAGAGCAUAGCAGCCCUGCUAUAUAUAUAUAUAUAUAUAUAUAGUCCGGCUACUAUACUCUUAUAAGUACGAUCGCCUUCGUACUCAUAAGUCUUUUUUGACGAUAGAGCUUCCGAAUCGACGAUCCACACCGUUAAACAUUAUCUAGAGCAUUUAAAACGUUUGGAAAUCAAAUUUUAUAAUUUUUCGACAUUAUUUACCUUACGAUCAAAAGUCACAAAAUUUUUAACCUGUAAAUUUUUAAACAUAAUAAAUUAU
rnacentral:lncRNA from 1 species